rnacentral:rRNA from 1 species
AUGUCAGUUUCAGAUACGAACCUUCAUAAUGGAGAAAAGCCCAUCUCCGAAAUUCCCGAUGCGGAACUCGCCGAAAAGCAUGGUCAUAUGAAGUUAGUAUGCUCACAGACAAGGUUCGGAAAAACCAUGAAAUUGUUGUCACAAGACCAAAAAAAGUACAUCAUAUCAGAAACUAGUCUUGGCGGUCUAACCCAGAUGCAUGAAGUGACACUACGGCGCAUAAUGUUGGUUAGACUAGCCAAGAGCAUAGAUAUGGACACGCAAUCCAUUACCAUCGGUAAAACGCCAAUUCCUAUAACAAAAGAGGACGUGCAAGGUAUAUUUGGCAUUCCGAUAGAAGCGGAGGAUAUAGAGCCACAUCUGGAAAUGCAAACCGACACAGAAUUGUUUACCGCCUAUGCAAACAAUGGGCAAAUUUUGAUUUCUGACCUUGAAACGACAAUCCGAGCUUCCAAAGCCCCAGACGGUGAUUUCCUGAGACGGUUCAUUCUGUACGCAAUUGGUACUGUUCUAGCACCAACAGCACAACAUUAUAUGGACUUGAAAUUUCUCAACCUUGUUACAGAUCUUGAAAACCUUCUGAAAUUUAACUGGGGAUGUUUCACACUUAAUCACUUCUUCAAGUCCGUUCACAAGUUUAGAAAUCAAGAUCACGUAAAUAUACAAGGAAAUCUAAUUCUGCUCCAGUAUUGGUACUGGGAGCACGUGCGUAGUGGCCGAUUAAUGUAUGCUUCUAGACCCCCUCCAUUGAUCGCAUGA